rnacentral:rRNA from 1 species
GACGAACGCUGGCGGCGUGCUUAACACAUGCAAGUCGAACGGAAAGGCCCUGCUCUUGUGGGGUGCUCGAGUGGCGAACGGGUGAGUAACACGUGAGUAACCUGCCCCUGAAUUAGGGAUAAAUUCUGGAAACUGGGGCUCAUACCGGAUAGGAGCUCUUGCUGCAUGGUGGGGGUUGGAAAGUUUCGGCGGUUGGGGAUGGAAUCGCGGCUUAUCAGCUUGUUGGUGGAGUAGUGGCUUCCCAAGGCUUAGACGGGUAGCCGGCCUGAGAGCGUGACCGGCCACAAUGGGACUGAGAGACGGCGCAGACUGCUACGGGAGGCAGCAGUGGAGAAUAUGACACAACGAGCGGAAGCGUGAUACAGAAACGCCGCGUGCGGAAUGACGUCCUUCGGGUGAUGAACCGCUUUCGCCUGUGACGAGGCGUGAGUGACGGUAAUGGGUAAAGAAGCACCGGCUAACUACGUG